UGGACAAAUCGGGAGGUGGUGUAAACUGGUUUUUGGUGAAAUUCGGCUCGGCCUCAUGCGAACCUAUCUAGGUCCGUCUCUGGAGUGGCCUGUCAUCGAUCGCGCCCUCCAUCGCUGAGCGACACAAGUGGAACCCCCCAGGACUGCAUUCUGCUUUUGGUCUGUGAACACAUUUGGGAAAUUCUUCUGAUCCUACCGCUACUCUCUUGAGAGAGAGAAACAAGGGGAAAAAAAGUUAAUUGCCUGAGGAUACACUGCUAGUGUUGCGGGACAAAUAGAGACGGGAGAGGCCAAACAGAAUUCAGGAGAACCCUUUAUUAUUAAGAUGAAGAAACAGCUCAGAUUUGACCAAGAUCACACAAGUAGGAGUUGAGGAAUUGGAACCCACUAUGACUGACUCCAAAUUAAUAUAGUGUUUAUAGCCACUUA
rnacentral:lncRNA from 1 species